AUCGGUAUUGUAGAUACAAUCGCUGAUGCAGCAACUAUGGAGAAAAUCAAUGAAACUAUUUCACUUGCAAAAAAUGAAGUGAAGGAUCUUAUUACGAAGGCCCAAAACAAGGAGCUAGAGGCUGAACCUGGACGGACUAUGAUGGAAUCAUUUGAAAACAAAGUGAACCAGGUAUUGAACAAAGCUCGUGAUGAUGCGGGAAGCAGUGCCCAAAAGAGUUUAUCUGAGAGUAACAACCUCAAGGCCAUGGUUACUGCAGGAUCUAAGGGGAGUUUCAUUAACAUAUCACAGAUNGAUGACUGCUUGUGUGGGGCAGCAAAAUGUUGAGGGUAAGCGUAUACCAUAUGGUUUUGUAGAUCGGACUUUGCCCCACUUCACCAAGGAUGACUAUGGGCCAGAAAGUCGUGGGUUUGUGGAGAACUCAUAUCUGCGUGGGUUGACCCCCCAGGAGUUCUUCUUUCAUGCUAUGGGUGGUAGGGAAGGUCUUAUAGAUACUGCAGUGAAGACUUCUGAGACUGGGUACAUCCAGAGGCGGCUAGUGAAGGCCAUGGAGGAUAUCAUGGUUAAAUAUGAUGGCACUGUUAGGAAUUCACUAGGGGAUGUUAUUCAGUUUCUCUAUGGGGAAGAUGGUAUGGAUUCUGUCUGG
rnacentral:misc_RNA from 1 species